rnacentral:lncRNA from 1 species
AUGCUAGUAAGCCCUUUCAAACCUGAAAUGACAUGCACUUCUCCAGUUUUCUUUUCUUUCUUUCUUUUUUUUUUUAAGAGAAGACUUGUGGGUCCUUGAGAAAUCAGUAUUCCUAAUACUCUCUAUAAUUCAGCCUAUGUCUCCAGAGAAUGGGAAUGGGGCUGUCAACAAAGGAAGUCUCCCCUGCCUUGCCCACUUGGAUUUUCUAAGACUCAGAACCUUUCCCCCCUUCUCUUUCUCACAGCAAACCUUGAAGAAAAAAUGGGUGGAGCUCAGGUCUCUGCACUUACAGGAACAGCGCCUGCUGCAUGGUAAGCCCAAUUUCCUGCCAGGAAACCACAUUCUCGUCACACCCUCUCCGAGUUUCUGCCUCCAAAUAUUUUCAGAGUAUCACUAUUACAGUAAAAGUUUGCUUAGCACCAAUG